UACAGACAAAAAUGCCUCCAAAGACAUUUAGUUUUAUGACAUGGACCUUCUAGGGUAUGGACACUGAAACUAAAGCAAAUGGUUGAAGAACAAUUGGUAUUGUCUAAAAUAUUUUGAAAGAAAUGCAAAAGCAAAAAAAAUAAAAUAAAAAAAAAUCACCCAGAAAUGCUGAUGUAUUUUCAUGAAGUUACACAAAAUGUGGCUGCCUCUCCUGCCUCCCCUUCCACCUCCUCCACCCCUCUGCCUCUGCCAUCCUUCAGACAGCAAUAAUAAUAAUGGCUGUAUAAUUAAUAAAUCGAACUGUUGUGUAUGUGUAUUUUCAUGUUAAAUAAUAAUGUAUGACAAGAACUGUAAGAGAUGUUUCUAUGUCAUCAUCAGCAUCAUCUAAGUACUGAGCAUGUAGAACAUCAUGUGCAAGAUGUAUAUGGAAGUAGGCAGACUAUCCUUACAUAGGUAUAAGGUAAGUAGUAUUUAAUAUAAACUUAAUAAUGUGUUAGUUUUCUGUUUUAUAACUUUGCUUUCAAAUAACAUUACCAUAGGGUGUGUCCCUCUCUCUAGUAAAUGAAGAAGGUUGCAGAGCAGCCCAUCAUCACAGGUAAGUAGUUUUUUAAAAAAAUAGAACACUGUUUCCAACAGUAUAUAAUGAAUAUGGCUAGAAUGAAAUUUUAUAAUGAUUCAUUAGUGUAGAGGCUAGGCUACCAUAAAGCAUUCAUAUUGCUGCUGCUUCCUUAUCAAUGUAUGAAUUAUUAACCUAUAAAUAAAUAUGAAUUUUUUCAUAUUAUCUUUUCAUUUUUUAUAUUUAGUGUUAGUUAUACAUAUAUAACACCAACAGUGUUUUGUAUAAGACAAUAUUGAUGUAGGUACUGACAGAUAAUUCAUCUUGUAAAACAUGAUAUAACUUACAUUAUCAGUAAAUACAAUACAGUACUAUAAAUGUAUUUUCCCUUAUGAUUUUCUUAACAUUUUCUCUAGCUUACUUUAUUGUAUACAUAUAACAUACAAAAUGUGUGUUAAACUGUUUAGGUUAUGAGUAAGGCUUCCAGUAAACCAGCUAUUACCAGUUAAGUUUGGGGGGAGUCAAAAGUUAUAUAUGAAUUUUUAGCUGCACUGGGGUGUCAGUGCCCCUAACCCCUGCACUGUUCAAGGGUCAAGUUUAUUCUAGAGUUCAAAAUACUUUCCUAAUAUGAAAUAGACUUAGUACUUUAAUGAAAUAUAAAGAUUAUAUUUAAUCAUAUGUAUAGGCUAUUUUAAUCAAAAUUAAUUUUCAAUGCUAAAUUUUCAACCCUACUUAUAAUGGAAUUUUUUGAACUUUCAGUAUUUAUGUAUCACUUAAUGGCAUGCUUCAUUUAAAUACAUGGAUUUUUUUUUUACAAACAAUAAAAUGAUAUUCAUUGGAGACAAAUUAUUAUAACUUCUAAUGAAAGACAUACAUACCUGAGGUAUACCAGCGCCUGUUUGCAUAGAAGACUUUUUUAAUAGUCUCACUUCUUUGUUUAUAUAUCUUAGCAUUCCACUAAGAGUACUGAAGUCAUUACUUUCAGAACUAUCAUCUUCCAUGUCAUAUGUGAGAGGUUUAAAUGAGACUGGCUGGGUAUAAGUCAGAUCCUUCUGGCUUUCUUCUAAUGUUGACGACUGUUCUAAUUGCAUUUUUUUUAAGUCUUGUAGUAAUUCUUCAGAAAGAUCUUCAUUACUACCAGUUUUGACACUAAGGUCACUGGCACUAAUUGAGCGACGUAGUUUUCUACACUUGAAAAAAGCUGCAUGAGAAUGUUUAGCAAAUUUUGGAUCUUGAAUGGCAGGCAUAAUUUCUGUUGCAGAUGUAAGCAGGGCUGGUAGAAACUUGAUGUCUUCUGCCCUUUCACGUCCAGAAAUUUUGGCUUGUAAUCUGGUUAAUUCUGAUUCCUGUAGAAACAUAUGUACACAGUAGGUGUUCAAUAUAUUUUCGUUAAAUGAAUAAAUUACUUAAAUGAUCUCUAAGAAUCUAUGAUUUUUUUAAGUCAAGCUUCUGCCCAGAACACAAAUUCCUUUCAUAACAAACCAUGAGAGUUUUCCAAACUCUGUUUAAACCCUUCAUUUUGGGAAAAUUACCUAUGUUCACUUGAAAUAUGUUAAAACUACACUAAGAAACUCCAUGAAAACUAGAUUUUCCUUAUACAAAUGUUACAGUAACAGUAUAGGGAACACACAGUAACAGAUAGGGAAAACAUAAUGAAAAAGGAAUCCAAUUGUAUCACUAAAGAAAGCAGCAAACUGUGAGAAGAGAGGGACAGAAAAGAACUACAAUAACAAAAUGGUGCUAAGUACAUACUUAUCAAUAAUUACUUUGAAUGUAAAUGGAAUAAAUGCUCCAAUCAAAAGCCAGAGUGAAGACUGACACAGAAUGGAUAAAAAAGCAAGACCUAUCUGUAUAAGCUGCCUAAAAGAUACUCAUUUCAGACCAAACAACACAUAAAGGUUGAAAGUGAAGGGAGGGAAAAGCAUUUAUAAUGCAAAUAUAAAAGAAAAGAAAGCCAGGGGAGCAAUACUUCUAUGGGAUAAAACAGACUGUAAAACAAUGACUAUAACAAGAGACAAAAAAAGGACACUACAUAAUCAUAAAGGGAACAAUCCAACAAGAAAAUAUUAACAAUUGUAAGUAUUUAUGUACCCAAUGUGAUAGCACCCAAAUCCAUAAAGUAGUUACUAACAAGCAUAAAGGUAGUAACUGAUAGUAAUGUAGUAAUAGAAAACUUAAAUUUUUUUUUUAAUGUUUUAUUUAUUUUUGAGAGAGAGAAACAGUGCGAGUGGGGGAGGGGGCAGGGAGAGAGGGAGACAGAAUCGGAGGCAGGCUUCAGGCUCUGAGCUGGCAGCACAGAGCCCAAAAUGGGGCUCGAACCCAAAAAUGGUGAGAUCAUGACCUGAGCCGAAGUCAGACACUCAACCAACUGAGCCACCCAGGCACCCCAGUAGAGGACUUUAAUACCCACUUACAUCAAUGGAUAGAUCAUUCAAACAGAAAAUCAACAAGGAUGCUAGUUUUGAAUGAUACACUGGACCAGGUGGAUCUAAGAUAUAUUCAGAACACCCCAUUCUAAAAUAGGAUACACAUUUUUUUUAAAUUUUUUAAUGUUUAUUUUUGAGAGAGAGAGAGACAGAGCAUGAGUGGGGAGGGGCAGAGAGAGAGGAGACACAGAAUCUAAAGCAGGCUCCAGGCUCUGAGCUGUCAUUACAGAGCUUGAUGUGGGGCUCGAACCCAUGAACCAUGAGAUUAUGACCUGAGCCGACAUAGACACUUAACUGACUGAGCCACCCAGGUGCUCCAGGAUGCAUUCUUUUAGGUGCACAGGGAGCAUUCUCCAGAAUAGAUCACAUAAGGCCACAAAACAAGUCUCAAAAGAUUGAAAAUGAUUGAAGUCAUACCAUGCAUCUUUUCUGAACACAAUGCUAUGAAACUAGAAAUCAAACCAUAAGAAAAUCUGGAAAGAACACAAAUACAUGGAGGUUAAAUAACAUGCUAUUAAACAAUGAAUGGGGGAACCAAGAAAUCCAGAAGAAAUUCUAAAAAAAUGGGGAAAAAUGAAAACGAAAACACAGUGGUCCAAAAUCUUUGGGAUACAGCAAAAGCAGUUCUCAAAAUGAAGUUAUAGCAAUAAGCGCCUACCUCAAGAAGCAAGAAAAAUCUCAAAUAAACAAUCUGCUUACAUCUAAAGGAGCUAGAAAAAAAAAGAACAAAACCCAAAGCCAACAGAAGGAAGAAAAUAAUAAAGAUUAAAGCAGAAAUAAAUAGAAACAAAAAAAAAUUGGAAGUGAUCAAUGAAACAGGAGCUGGUUCUUUGAAAAGAUCAACAAAAUUGAUAAACCUUUCAACAGACCAAUAAAAAAAAAAUUGAGAGGGAGAGAGAGGAUUCAAAUAAACAUCAGAAAUGAAAGAGAAGAAAGAACAGCUGACACCAAAGAAAUACAAAGGAUUAUAAGAGAAUAUUAUGAAAAAUCAUAUGCCAACAAACUGGGCAACCUAGAAGAAAUGGAGAACUUCCUAGAAACACAUAAUCUCCAAAAACUCAAUCUAUAAGAAAUAGAAAAUUUGAGCAGACUGAUUACCAGUAAUCCAAUAACUCCAAAAGUCCAGGACAAGAUGGCUUCACAGGUGAAUUCCACCAAACAUUUAAAGAAGAGUUAACACCUCUUCUUUUCAAACUAUUCCGAAAAAUACAAAAGGAAGGAAAACUUCCAAAUUCAUUCUAUGAAGCCAGCACUACCCUGAUACCAAAACCAGACAAAGACACUACAACAAAAGAGAAAUACAGGUCCAUAUCACUGAUGAACUUAAGAUGCAAAAAUCCUCAACAAAAUAUUAAAUACAAACUGAAUCUAACAAUACAUUAAAAAAAAAGCAUUCACCACGAUAAAGUUGGAUUUAUUCCAGGGAUGCAAGGGUGGUUUGUUAUUCACAAAUAAAUGUGAUACAUAUCAACUCUAGAAAGGAUAAGAACCAUAUGAUCAUUUCAAGAGACAAGGAAAAAGCAUUUGACAAAGUACAACAUCCAUUCAUGAUAGAAACUCUUAACAAAGUAGGUUUAGAGGGAACAUAGCUCAACAUAAUAAGGGCGAUACACCAAAAACUCAAAGCUAACAUCAUACUCCAUGGUGAAAAACUGACAGUAUGUCCCCUAAGACCAGGAACAAGACAAGAUGUCCACUCUCAACACCUUUAUUCAACACAGUAUUGGAAGUCAUAGUCAUAGUAAUGAGAUGAGGAAUAAAAGUCAUCCAAAUUAGUAAGAAAGAUGUAACUUUAACUAUUUGCACAUAACAAGAUACUAUAUAUAGAAAACGUUAAAGACCAUGAAAAACCUACUAAAAUUGCUAAAUGAAUUCAGUAAGGUCAUAGAAUACAAAAGUCAAUAUUCAGGAAUCCACUGCAUUGCUAUACACUACUAAUAAAGUAGCAGAAAGAGAAAUUAAGAGAACAGUUCCACUUAGAAUUGUAUGAAAAAUAAUAAAAUGCCUAGGAAUAAACUUAUCCAAGGAGGUAAAAGACCUGGACUCUGAAAACUAUAAAUACUGAUGAAAGAAAAUGAAAAUGACGCAAAGAAAUGGAAAUAUAUUCCAUACUCAUGGAUUAAAAGAAUAACUAUUGCUAAAAUGUCCACACAAUCCAAAGAUAUCUACAGAUUUUAUGCAAUACUAUGAAAAUAUCAAUAGCAUUUUUCACUGAACUACAACAAAUAAUCCUAAAAUUUGUAUGGAAUCAGUAAAGACCCUGAAGAGCCAAAGAAAUAUGGAAAAAGAACAAUAAAACUGGAGGUCUCAUAAUCUCAGAUUUCAAGACAUACUACAAAGCUGUAGUAUUCAAAACAAGUAUGGUACUGGCACACACACACACACACAAAAACCAAACCCAGGGGCGCCUGGGUGGCGCAGUCGGUUAAGCGUCCGACUUCAGCCAGGUCACGAUCUCGCGGUCCAUGAGUUCGAGCCCCGCGUCGGGCUCUGGGCUGAUGGCUCAGAGCCUGGAGCCUGUUUCCGAUUCUGUGUCUCCCUCUCUCUCUGCCCCUCCCCCGUUCAUGCUCUGUCUCUCUCUGUCCCAAAAAUAAAUAAAAACGUUGAAAAAAAGAAAAAAAAAAUUAAAAAAAAAAAAAACCAAACCCAUAGAUCAAGUGAACAGAACAGAGAGCCCAGAAAUAGAUCCAAGGUGCCUGGGUAGCUCAGUUGGUUAAGUAUCCGAUUCUUGGUUUCAGCUCAGGUCAUGAUCUCGUGGUUCGUGGGCUUGAGCCCAGCUUCGGGCUCCACGCUGGGCAUGGAGCCUGCUUUGGGGAUUCUCACUCUCCCAAUCUCUCUACUCCUCCCCUGCUCACACUGUCUCUGGAAGAAAGGAAAGCAGGAAGGCAGGCAGAAAUAUACCCACAAUUAUAUGGUCAAUUAAUCUUCAGAUGAAAGAGGCAAGAAUAUGCAAUGGGAAAAAGACAGUCUCUUCAACACACAGUGCUGGGAUAACUGGACAGCUACAUGCAGAAGAAUGAAAUUGGACUACUUUAUAAUACCAUACACAAAUAUAAACUCAAAAUGGAUUAAAGACCUAAAUGUGAAACCAUAAAAAUUCUAGAGGAGAGCACAGGCAGUAAUCUUAUGACAUCAGUUGUGGCACUAUUUUUCUAGAUAUGUCUCCUGAGGCAAGGGAAACAAAAGCAAAAAUAAACUAUUGGGACCUCAUCAAAAUAAAAAGCUUCUGCACAGUUAAGGAAACAAUCAACAAAACUAAAGGGCAACCUAUGAAAUGGGAGAAGAUACUUACAAAUGAUAUAUAUAUCUGACCAAGGGUUAGUAUCCAAAAUAUAUAAAGAACUUAUACAACACCAAAAAAACAAAUAAUCCAAUUUAAAAAUGGGUGGAAGACAUUAACAGACAUUUCUCCGAAGAGGACAUAGAGAUGGCUAACAGACACAUUGAAAGAUGCUCAACAUACAAAACACAUAUUUUUCAAGUGUCCAUGGAAUAUUCACCAAUGACAGACCAUAUUCUGGGCCAUACGACAAAACUUAAUAAAUUAAAAAAAACUGAAAACAUACAAAUUAUGUUCUCUAACCAUAAUGGAAUUAAACUAGAAAUCAGUAACAGAGAGACAUCUGAAAAAUCUCUGAAUAUUUCUUAAUUAAAUUUAUAUACUUUUAAAUAACCCACAGGUCAAAGGGACAACAUAAGGGAAAUCAGAAAUUUUUGAGCUGAGUGAAAAUAAAAAUACAGUAUUGUAUCAAAAUUUGUGGGGGAUAGCUAAAGCAGUGCUUGAAAAGAAAUUUUUUAUAUUAGAAAAGAAAGAUCUAGAUCAGUUGAUCUAACUUGUCACCUUAUACUAGAAAAAGAGCAAGUUAAACUCAAAGAAAGCACAAAGAAGGAAAUAAUAAAGAGGAGAAAUUAAUAAAAAUAAGAAGAGAAAGCUAAUUGAGAAAAAGCAAUAAAACCAAAGCUGGUUCUCUAAAAAGAUCAAUAAAAUCGAUAAACUUCUAGCCAGACUAGGAGAAAAAGGAGAAGACACAAUUACCAAUAUCAGGAAUGAAAGAGGGGAGGUCACUACAUAACCUACAGGCAUUAAAAAGAAAAUAAAGGAAUACUAUAAACAACUCUAUGCUCAUAAACUCAUAGAUGAAACGAACCAAUUCCUCAAACACAAAUACUACCAUGGGGUGCCUGGGUGGCUCAGUCAGUUAAGCAUGCCACUUCAGCUCAGGUCACAAUCCAUUUGAGAGUUUGAGCCCCCCACAUAAGGCUCUGCACUGCUCUCUGCCCCUCCCCCCCCAAAACACUUUCAAAGCUUACUCAAAGAAAUCAAAGAUCUAAAUAAAAGGAGAACUAUACCAAAUUCAUGCUCAAUGCUAAUCAAAAUCCCAGAAAGCGGAUUCUAAAAUUUGUACAGAAAGUCAAAGGAACUCUAGUUAUUUAUUUAUUUAAAAAAAAUUUUUUUUUUUUUUAAAUUUUUUUUCCUUCAACGUUUAUUUAUUUUUGGGACAGAGAGAGACAGAGCAUGAACGGGGGAGGGGCAGAGAGAGAGGGAGACACAGAAUCGGAAACAGGCUCCAGGCUCUGAGCCAUCAGCCCAGAGCCCGACGCGGGGCUCGAACUCAUGGACCGCGAGAUCGUGACCUGGCUGAAGUCGGACGCUUAACCGNAAAAAAAAAAAAAAAAAAAAAAAACCAAACCCAUAGAUCAAGUGAACAGAACAGAGAGCCCAGAAAUAGAUCCAAGGUGCCUGGGUAGCUCAGUUGGUUAAGUAUCCGAUUCUUGGUUUCAGCUCAGGUCAUGAUCUCGUGGUUCGUGGGCUUGAGCCCAGCUUCGGGCUCCACGCUGGGCAUGGAGCCUGCUUUGGGGAUUCUCACUCUCCCAAUCUCUCUACUCCUCCCCUGCUCACACUGUCUCUGGAAGAAAGGAAAGCAGGAAGGCAGGCAGAAAUAUACCCACAAUUAUAUGGUCAAUUAAUCUUCAGAUGAAAGAGGCAAGAAUAUGCAAUGGGAAAAAGACAGUCUCUUCAACACACAGUGCUGGGAUAACUGGACAGCUACAUGCAGAAGAAUGAAAUUGGACUACUUUAUAAUACCAUACACAAAUAUAAACUCAAAAUGGAUUAAAGACCUAAAUGUGAAACCAUAAAAAUUCUAGAGGAGAGCACAGGCAGUAAUCUUAUGACAUCAGUUGUGGCACUAUUUUUCUAGAUAUGUCUCCUGAGGCAAGGGAAACAAAAGCAAAAAUAAACUAUUGGGACCUCAUCAAAAUAAAAAGCUUCUGCACAGUUAAGGAAACAAUCAACAAAACUAAAGGGCAACCUAUGAAAUGGGAGAAGAUACUUACAAAUGAUAUAUAUAUCUGACCAAGGGUUAGUAUCCAAAAUAUAUAAAGAACUUAUACAACACCAAAAAAACAAAUAAUCCAAUUUAAAAAUGGGUGGAAGACAUUAACAGACAUUUCUCCGAAGAGGACAUAGAGAUGGCUAACAGACACAUUGAAAGAUGCUCAACAUAAAUAACCAUCAGGGAAAUGCAAAUCAAAACCACAAUGCAGUAUCACCUCACAAUUAUGAGAGUGGCUAAAAUCAACAGCACAGUAAACAAGUGUUGGCAAGGAUGUGGAGAAAAAGGAACCCUCUUGCAUUGUUUUUAGGAAUGCAAACCAGUGCAGCCACUGUGGAAACAAUAUGGAGGUUCCUCAAAAAGCCAAAAAUAGAACUACACUAUGAUCCAGCAAUUGCACUACUGGGUAUUUAUCCAAAAAUACAAAAACAUUAAUUCAAAGGGAUAUAUGAACCCCUCUGUUUAUUGGAGCAUUAUUUAAAAUAGCCAAAAUAAGGAAGCAGCCCAAAUGUCCAUUGACAGAUUAAUGGAUAAAGAAGAUGUGGUAUAUAUUUACAAUGGAAUACUAUUCAGCCAUAAAUAAGAAUGAGAUCUUGCCAUUUGCAGUGACAUAAAUGGAGCUAAAGAGUAUAAUGCUAAGUGAAAUAAGUCAGUUAGACAAAGAUAAAUACCAUAUGAUUACACUCAUGUGGAAUUUAAGAAACAAAUAAACAAGGGGUGCCUGGGUGGCUCAGUUAGUUAAGUGUCCGACUCUUGAUUUUGACUCCGGUCAUGAUCUCGUGCUUUGUAAGAUCGAGUCCCCAUCUGCUGACAGUGCAGAGCCUGCUUGGGAUUCUCUCUCUCCCUCUCUCUUUGCACCCGCCCCCCACUCAUGCAUGUGCAAGCUCUUUCUCUCUCAAAAUAAGUAAACAUUUUUUAAAAAAAGAAACUAACAAACAAAUAAAAUGAGCAAAGGAAAAAAAACAGAAGAGAGAGAGAUAAACCCAGAAAGACUCUUAACUACACAGAACAAACUGAUGGUUAUCAGAGGGGAGGUGGGUGGGUAGAUAGGUAAAAUAGGUGAUGGUGAUUAAACAUGCUCAUCACUUGUAAUGAGCACAGGGUAAUGAAUGGAAGUGUUGAAUCACUAUAUUGUAUACCUGAAACUAAUAUGACACUGUAUGUUAACUAUACUGGAAUUUAAAAUAAAAUUAAAAAAAACAUUAAAAAUAAAUAAUAUAAAAAUAUAUAUAUUCCAUGUAAAUGGAUAUCAAAAUCGUGGAGUAGCUCUACUCACAUCAGAAAAAAACAAUAUUUAAGCCAAAACUGUAACAAGAGACAAAGAAUGUCAUUAUGUAAUGAUAAAAGGGUCAAUCUGAAAGAAUAUAUUACAUAAAUAUUUAUGGUCCUAAAAAACAUAGAAGCACCUAAAUAUAUAAAGCUAAUAUUGACAGACCUGAAGGGAGAAAAAGACAGAAAUAUAAUAAUAGUAGAAGACUUAAAUACCCCAUUGUCAUCAAUGGAUAGAUAGAUCAAGGCAGAAAAAUCAAUAAGGAAAAACGACUUGAACUACACAUAACACCAAAUGGACUUAACAGACAUUUGUAGAACAUUCCAUACAAGGCCUAUACACAUUCUUCUCAGACAAGGAACAUUCUCCAAGGGAGACCAUGUGGUAGGCCACAAUACAAGUCUUACAAGAAAAUUGACAAUUUACAAUUAUGUCAGGAUUAAAAAAAUAUGCUACUGAAUAGCCAAGAGGCCAGAAAAAUUAGAAAAAAUUAUGUUGAGACAAAUGAAAAUGGAAAUACAACAUACCAAAAAUUAUGGGAUACAAAAUAUGGUAUCCCAUAUGGGAUACAGAAAAAAUAUUUUUAAGAGGUAAGUUAAUAGUAAUAAACAUCUACAUUAGGAAACAAGAAAGAUCUCAAAUAACCUAACUUCAUACUUUAAGGAACUAGAAAAAUAACAAAUUAAAGCCCAAAAUUAAGAAAAGGGGAAAUAAUAAAGAUCAGAGCAGAAAUAGAAACUAAAAAGACAACAGAAAAGAUCAAUGAAACUGAAAAUAGAGGGCUUUUAAAGUGGUAAAAAAUAUAUAUACAAAUCUUUAGCUAGAUUUACCAAGAAAAAAAGGCCCAAAUUAAUAAAAUUUGAAAUGAAAGAGGAGACAUUUCAACUGCUACCAGAGAAACACAAAGGAUCAUUAGAGACUGAUACAAAGACUUAUAUACCAACAAACUGGACAACCUAGAAGAAACAAAUUCUACCAAGACAAUAUGAAGAGAAUAUCUGAACAAACCAAUUAAUAGUAAGGAAAUUGGAUCAGUAAUCAAAAACUUCCAAAGAAACAAAAGUCCAGGACCAGAUGACUUCACUGGCAGAUUCUAUCAAACAUUAAGGAAGAAUUAAUUCCAACCCUUCUUAAACUCUUCUAAAAAACAGAAGAGGGAACCCUUCCAAACUCAUUUUAUGACGCCAGUGUUACCCUGAUGGGAAGCCACAAGAAAAGUGGCCAGUAUGCUUGAUGAACAUAGAUACAAAAUUCCUCAACAAAAUAGCAGAAAAGCCAAAUUCCACAAUACAUUAUUAAAAGGAUCAUACACCAUGAUCACAUGGGAUUAAUUCCAUAGAUGCAAGGAUGGUUCACUAUCUACAAAAAAAACAAAAUAAAAAUAAAAAUCAGUGUGAUACACCACAUUAACAAAAUGAAGGAUAAAAAUCUUUAAAUCAUCUCAGUAGAUGCAGAGAAAGCAUCUGACACAAUUCAACAUCCUGUAAGACCAGCAGCAAGAAAAGAAUACCCACUCACCACUUUUAUUCAACACAGUACUGGAAGUCCUACCCAGAGCAAUUAAUCAAGAAAAAGACAUAAAAGUAUCCAAGUUGGAAAGAAGUAAAGCUGUCUAUAUUUGCAGAUGACAUAAUAUAUAUAGAAAACACUAAAAACUAUCAAAAAAUUGUUAGAAUGAAUGAAUUCACUGAAGUUGCAGGAUACAAAAUAAAUAUACUAUCCAAAGCAAUCUACAGAUUCAAUUCAAUCCCCAUUAAAAUUCCAUCAAAAAGGCAUUAUUCAAAGAAAUAUCAACAAACAAUCCUAAAAUCUGUAUGAAAACGAAAAAGACCUCAAAUAUCUAAAGUAAUCUUCAGAAAAAAGAAGGAAGCUGGAAGCAUCACAUUAUCUCAUUACAAACUACAGUAAUAAAAACAAUGUGGUACUGGUACAGAAAUGGACACAUAGAUCAAGGAACAGACCAGAUAGUCCAGGAAUAAGUCCAUGCAUAUAUAGCAAAUUAAUUUGUGACAAAGAAGCCAAGAAUAUACAAUAAAGGAUAGUAUCUGUAUAAACGGUACUGGGAAAACUGGACAGAUAGAAAAUGAUGAAACUGUAUCACUAUCUUAUACCAUACACAAAAAUCAACUCUACAUGGAUGAAAGACUUAAAUUUAUGAUCUGAAACCAUAAAUCUUCCAGAAGAAAACAGAGGGCUAAGGUACCUGACAUCAAGUUGGCAAUAAAUUUUUGGAUAUGACAUAAAAGCAAGGGCACUGAAAUCAAAUAUAAGCAACUAAAAAGCUUCUGCACAGCAGUGUAAACUAUCAAUAAAAUGAAAAGGCAGCCUACAGAAUGGGAGAAAAUAUUUGCAAAUCAUGUAUGUGAUAAGGGGUGAAUGCCUGAGAUAUAUAAAGAACUCAUAUAACUCAAACCCAAACAAUCCAAAUUAAAAAUCGGCAGAGAAACUGAACACAUAUUUUUCCAAAUAACACAUACAGAUAGGCAAAGGGUAUGUGAAAAGGUGCUCAACAUCACUAGUCAUCAGGGAAAUGCAAAUCGAAACCACAAUGAGAUAUUACAUCAUACUUGUCUGAAUGGCUAGUAUCAAAACAAAACAAACCCAAGAGAUAACAAGUAUUGGUGUGGGUGUGCAGAUAGGGAACCCUUGUCCACUGUUGGUGGAAUGUAAAUUGCACAGCCACUAUGGAAAACAGUAUGGAGGUUCCUCAAAAAUUAAAAACAGAAAUACCACAUGAUCCUGCAACACCAGUUUGGGGUAUAUACUCAAAAGGAAUUAAUACAGGAUAUCAAGGGGCGCCUGGGUGGCGCAGUCGGUUAAGCGUCCGACUUCAGCCAGGUCACGAUCUCGCGGUCCGUGAGUUCGAGCCCCGCGUCGGGCUCUGGGCUGAUGGCUCAGAGCCUGGAGCCUGUUUCCGAUUCUGUGUCUCCCUCUCUCUCUGCCCCUCCCCCGUUCAUGCUCUGUCUCUCUCUGUCCCAAAAAUAAAUAAACGUUGAAAAAAAAAAUUAAAAAAAAAAAUACAGGAUAUCAAAAAGAUACAUGUAUUCCCAAGUUCAGUGAUGGCAUUAUUUCCAACAGCCAAGAUAAGCAAAAAACCAAAGUGUUUAUCAAUAGAUAAAUGUAUAAAGAAGAUAUGGUAUCUAUAUACAUACAAUGAAUAUUAUUCAGCCAUGAGAAAGGACAUCUUGCUAUUUGUGACAACAUGAAAAGACCCUGAGAGCAUUAUGUUAAGUGAAAUAAAACAGAAAAGACAAAUAGUUCAUGGAAUCAUUUUAUAUGUACUGUUAAAAAAAAAAAGUCAAAUUCAUAAAAACAGCAGGUAGAAAAGGGUUUGCUGGGCAGUGAGGGAAAGAGAGGUUAGUAAAACAGUAAAACCUUUUAGCUAAAAGACAAUAAGGUUUGAAGAUAUAAUGCAUAACAUGGUGACUACAGUUGGUAAUACUGUAUUAUAUGACUGAAAUUUGCUAGGAGAGUAGAACAUAAAUGUUCUUACCAAAAAAAAUAGAAAUAAAUUUUUAAAAAUUUAAGUUUGUGUUUGAACAUUUAUAAAUUAUUUCUCCUAUAGUAAUCUGAUAAUCAUCAUAUUCAUAAUCCCUACAUCCAAUGUCUUCUAAAUAAAAUGCUUUUUAUUCAAACUGGUCAACAUUUGGUCAUAUUUUCCUUUAUAAACUACAAGGAUGGGAAAAAUAAGUCAUAAAUUCACUUUUUCAUUUAUGUGUUUUAUGUACUUUUAUAUGUUUACUUACUUUAAUAAGUAAUGCUUCAUUUGUAGCUUCAAUUACUUCAUUCCUGUCUUGGACUUGUUGAUGCAAAUUGCUUACAGUAUCCUGAGCUUCUUCUAAUUCCAGUUUUGCCUUCUCUAACUGUUCAUUUAGUUGCUGAACAGAAGUCUUUUGAGAGUCAGCAGAAAUCUUCCACUUUGCAUGGUUCUCUUGAUGUGAAAUCAUCUACACAGCCCCAAAAUUGAAAAAGAAAAGAAUUAAGUAGGGUGGAGUUGGUUUCAA
rnacentral:lncRNA from 1 species